ACGUAGGUGGCGAGCGUUGUCCGGAAUUAUUGGGCGUAAAGCGCGCGCAGGCGGCUAUACAAGUCACAUUUAAAAGCGCUGAGCUCAACCUCGUGAUGGCAGAGAAACUGUGUGACCUGAGUGCAGGAGGGGUAGACGGAAUUUCUAGUGUAGCGGUGAAAUGCGUAGAUAUUAGGAGGAACACCGGUGGCGAAAGCGGUCUACCGGACUAAAACUGCCGCUGAGGCGCGAAGGCGAGGGGAGCAAACAG
rnacentral:rRNA from 1 species